AUGGACUUAGCCUGCCAGGCUUCUCUGUCCAUGGUAUUUUCCAGGCAAGAAUACGGGAGUGUGUUGAUCUUCCAUACCCAGGAAUUGAAGCCGCAUCUCUUGUGUCUCCUGCAUUGGCAGGUGGAUUCUUUACCACUGUGCCACCUGCGAAGCCCUGACAAUAAUGGCCUGGCCCAUGCUAGAGAGAUAUGUAGCCUCACUUGUCUGGCAUCUUAUCCAAGAAGACUUCCUUUUCUCUGGUUCCCUGUGGAGUGCAUAUUAAGCCAUUGGAGAGAGAAGAGUGGACAAAUGUGAGGGCACGAUGGUUUUUGAGUGUCGGCCUUGGCGCGGCUGUCGAGAUCGAGAGAUACUGCAGUUUGUUCAUCGCGGGAAGGGUGUUUCCCAGGAUGGUUAAAGAGAAAAUUGCACUGAUGAAAGAAUAUAUUCAGUCAAAAUAAAAUAAUUCUCUGGAAAUGAAGAUUUCUCCCGUUGACCUGCAUUGUGUGUGUGUGUGUAUUUUUAAACAAAUUUUCAACUCUUUUUUAUUUUUAUUUUUUGUAACAACUGCCAGGAAAAAAAUUUAAACCUUGACUUUGAUGUUUUGAACUUUCCGAGUAAGUUGAUGUAUGUACAUCAUGAUUAAAGACCAAACACUGGCUAAUACCUACCUGGUAAAAACCGAUGGCAAAUUAAUUAAACAG
rnacentral:lncRNA from 1 species